rnacentral:lncRNA from 1 species
AUGGGCAAGCAACCGCACUCAUGACCUCCUGCUCUAACAGGACAAAGUCGUUGGAGAGCAUCCUUGAAAGCAUUCUUCCAUAAGUUGAUAGAAAAGCUGCCUUGCUGCUGAUCACCCAAGGCUGGUCCAAGCAACCUUCCAGAGGUUUUAUUAGAGGGCAAAUCCAGAGGUUUUAUUAGAGGGCAAAUCCGCAGCAGGAGAUUGCAUAUGUGGAGUCAAAGCCUGAAAACAUAAGAACAUAGAAUAUGAUAAUGAGACUUGUGAGGAUUAAUAUCUAAAGCUCAUAGCAUAAAUGGCCUAUUACAAUGAGAAUAUGAUAAUGAGACUUGAGCAUUCAGUCUUGACAAAUGACAGGGUCAAAUGAAGUCAGGCCUGGAAUUCAUUUAUCAAACAAAAAAGAGAGGAAAGAGUGUUUUUUUGAUGGAUGAUUUUCAUGUUCUACCUACAAGCAUCAACAGAAAAAUUUAUAAAAUUUGAUGACCCCGCACUUUCUCACCUGCCACCAUACAGAUUCGACUAUACGGGAAAAUAUCCACGAUUCAACUUUUUCUAAUGCAGCUGUAAAGGUUCCCGU